GAAGAACAACGAUGGUGACUACCAACAAGAUGAACGCAACAACAGUACCAAAAAAGGCAAUGGGAUUUUUUGUGGCUUUUUAGUGGAUUGUAGGAUUUGAAAAAAAAUAACAGAUGGUAAAGGGAGAGUGAUAAGAAAAUCUACUAUGACAACGAUACCUCUAGUUACCACAUGAUAUGGACCAUUACAAGAAAGGUCCUUGGAUGGUCCGAUCUU
rnacentral:lncRNA from 1 species